GCGAGCGGCGGAUGGGUGAGUAACACGRGGGGAAACCUGCCCCUAAGUCUGGGAUACCAUUUGGAAACAGGUGCUAAUACCGGAUAAUAAAGCAGAUCGCAUGAUCAGCUUUUGAAAGGCGGCGUAAGCUGUCGCUAAGGGAUGGCCCCGCGGUGCAUUAGCUAGUUGGUAAGGUAACGGCUUACCAAGGCGACGAUGCAUAGCCGAGUUGAGAGACUGAUCGGCCAUAUUGGGACUGAGACACGGCCCAAACUCCUACGGGAGGCAGCAGUAGGGAAUCUUCCACAAUGGACGCAAGUCUGAUGGAGCAACGCCGCGUGAGUGAAGAAGGUUUUCGGAUCGUAAAGCUCUGUUGUUGGUGAAGAAGGAUAGAGGUAGUAACUGGCCUUUAUUUGACGGUAAUCAACCAGAAAGUCACGGCUAACUACGUGCCAGCAGCCGCGGUAAUACGUAGGUGGCAAGCGUUGUCCGGAUUUAUUGGGCGUAAAGCGAGCGCAGGCGGAAAAAUAAGUCUAAUGUGAAAGCCCUCGGCUUAACCGAGGAACUGCAUCGGAAACUGUUUUUCUUGAGUGCAGAAGAGGAGAGUGGAACUCCAUGUGUAGCGGUGGAAUGCGUAGAUAUAUGGAAGAACACCAGUGGCGAAGGCGGCUCUCUGGUCUGCAACUGACGCUGAGGCUCGAAAGCAUGGGGUAGCGAACAGGAUUAGAUACCCUGGUAGUC
rnacentral:rRNA from 1 species